rfam:Chelonia mydas contig206654, whole genome shotgun sequence.
GAAUAGCUCAGUGGUUUGAGCAUUGGCCUGCUAAACCCAGGGUUGUGAGUUCAAUCCUCACAUUUA